rnacentral:lncRNA from 1 species
CACCUUCUUUGUAUACAUGAUACGGUGAAAACGGGAGAAAACGCACAGACCAGAAGACACCCAGACAGUGGGCUGUUCUCACUGACGACAUUUGUGCCGCAUUCCUCCUCGCCCCUGGAGUGCAUUGCGACACUCAGACUGGUGGUUCUGGGAGCCAAGCAGCUGAUGGGGGAGCCUCAGGAGGCAGCAGAGACAAAUUAAUCUUCAGAUCCACCAGUUCCCCUGAAACAUACCACUUGCUAAACUGAAUUUCAAGCCAAGAGCGGCAGUUUUCCACAGCCCAAGUCUGGAAAAGUCUGUGAAACCAUGUUGGGUUCGAAACCAAAGUUGGUUUUUUGCUGUUUUUCGUGGAGCACCAGAGGGACAACUCCAGAAUUCCAGAUGUGAGGCCCCUGGAGGGACGUGUGUGUCCAGGCAUCUGCACAGCAGCUUCAGAAAGGCGACCACGGACAGCAGCUAAAAACCACCACUGACGACCUUCUUUCUCUUUUCUUACCUGAACCUCUGGACUUUCUUGUCUGAAAAGAGAGAGGAAAAAAAAAAAGCUGGCACUCAUUGUUUUGUUUUCUCAAUUUUCUUGUCAACUGACUCAUGAUAAAAGAAUGUCCUUUUCAAUCAAUUUCAAUUCCGCAGAACAGAAAAAUAGAGAAUUUAUAGGCAACUAUUGGAAACAAAGGAACCAUCUGUUUUUUUAAGUAUAAUUUUUCUCUGAAAUCGUUCUCUCCAAAUACUUGGAUCAUUUAUUUUCCCUCACCGCACCACUCUGCAGUGACCCAGAGAACCCCAUUGUCCAACCCAGGACACUGGAUCCAAUUAUUUAUUCUCAUCUACCUCCCCACUGGCCAUAAAAAUGAUCGAGAUCCUGGAACAUCUCAUUCCUUUGUGUCCUGGAAAACUCAACCCAAAAUGCCAAGAGAAGACAACACUCAAAUGAAUCCUUGCUGUGGCUGGUGAGGCCCACUCAUCGGAGAAGGUGGUGGGGAGAUCAUAGAUUUUUCACUUCGCACUCUGGUGUUUUCACUGCCAGCAGAGUCUCUGAGCACAGUUCAGCUUUCAAUUUUGCUCCAGAGGGAGUAUCCGACCUGGAAAAUAAGAAGUAAUUGAUGAGAAGCCCACAGAAAUGUCCCAGCUCUAGCAGGCCAUUGACUAUGAGGGAGCUCUGCGUUUUGCAAAGGCGUGAAGAGAAAGCUGCGGCCUUCCUUGGGGGAGGUGUUAGGCAGAAUGUCAGUGGACUUGGCUUUGAAUGAAAGGCCUCGGGGACAAUCAGACAGUGGCCUUAUUCUGUUAUCAGGCUGAAGGGUGAUC